AUUGAACGCUGGCGGCAGGCCUAACACAUGCAAGUCGAACGGUAACAGGAAACAGCUUGCUGUUUGGCUGACGAGUGGCGGACGGGUGAGUAAUGUCUGGGAAACUGCCUGAUGGAGGGGGAUAACUACUGGAAACGGUAGCUAAUACCGCAUAACGUCGCAAGACCAAAGAGGGGGACCCUCGGGCCUCUUGCCAUCGGAUGUGCCCAGAUGGGAUUAGCUUGUUGGUGGGGUAACGGCUCACCAAGGCGACGAUCCCUAGCUGGUCUGAGAGGAUGACCAGCCACACUGGAACUGAGACACGGUCCAGACUCCUACGGGAGGCAGCAGUGGGGAAUAUUGCACAAUGGGCGCAAGCCUGAUGCAGCCAUGCCGCGUGUAUGAAGAAGGCCUUCGGGUUGUAAAGUACUUUCAGCGGGGAGGAAGGGAGUAAAGUUAAUACCUUUGCUCAUUGACGUUACCCGCAGAAGAAGCACCGGCUAACUCCGUG
rnacentral:rRNA from 1 species